CCCUUAGAUGCUCUGGGCCGCACGCGCGCUACACUGGUCGAUGCAACGAGUUUCUUUCCUUGGCCGACAGGCCUGGGCAAUCUUUGAACAUCGAUCGUGAUCGGGAUAGAUUCCUGUAAUUUUUGAUCUUAAACGAGGAAUUCCUAGUAAACGCAAGUCAUCAGCUUGCAUUGAUUACGACCCUGCCCUUUGUACACACCGCCCGUCGCACCUACCGAUUGAAUGGUCCGGUGAAAUCUCCGGACUGGCGUGAGUCGGAGCAAUCUGACAAACACCGGAAAGUUGAUUAAACCUUACCAUUUAGAGGAAGGUGAAGUCGUAACA
rnacentral:rRNA from 1 species